rnacentral:rRNA from 1 species
AGCGAACGCUGGCGGCAGGCUUAACACAUGCAAGUCGAGCGGGCGUAGCAAUACGUCAGCGGCAGACGGGUGAGUAACGCGUGGGAACGUACCUUUUGGUUCGGAACAACACAGGGAAACUUGUGCUAAUACCGGAUAAGCCCUUACGGGGAAAGAUUUAUCGCCGAAAGAUCGGCCCGCGUCUGAUUAGCUAGUUGGUGAGGUAACGGCUCACCAAGGCGACGAUCAGUAGCUGGUCUGAGAGGACGAUCAGCCACAUUGGGACUGAGACACGGGCCAAACUCCUACGGGCGGCAGCAGUGGGGAAUAUUGGACAAGGGGCGAAAGCCUGAUCCAGCCAUGCCGCGUGAGUGAUGAAGGCCCUAGGGUUGUAAAGCUCUUUUGUGCGGGAAGGUAAUGACGGUACCGCAAGAAUAAGCCCCGGCUAACUUCGUGCCAGCCGCCGCCGUAA